rnacentral:rRNA from 1 species
CGCGUAGGCGGAUUGAUAAGUCAGAUGUGAAAUUCCGAAGCUCAACUUCGGAGCUGCAUUUGAAACUAUUAGUCUGGAGGGUUGACGGAGAAAACGGAAUUCCACGUGUAGCGGUGAAAUGCGUAGAUAUGUGGAAGAACACCCGUGGCGAAAGCGGUUUUCUAGUUGACACCUGACGCUGAGGCGCGAGAGCAAGGGGAGCAAACAGGAUUAGAUACCCUGGUAGUCC